rnacentral:rRNA from 1 species
UACGUAGGGUGCAAGCGUUUGUCCGGAAUUAUUGGGUGUAAAGAGCUCGUAGGCGGUUUGUCGCGUCUGCCGUGAAAGUCCGGGGCUCAACUCCGGAUCUGCGGUGGGUACGGGCAGACUAGAGUGAUGUAGGGGAGACUGGAAUUCCUGGUGUAGCGGUGAAAUGCGUAGAUAUCUGGAGGAACACCGGUGGCGAAGGCGGCAUCCUGGACCGGCAUUGACGCUGAGGCGCGAAAGCUAGGGGAGCAAACGGGG